rnacentral:lncRNA from 1 species
CUGGUGAACCAAAUCAAAAUUAAUUAACCAGUUGGUGUUUAAGAUAAGUUUGGCAGAUUCGAUCAAGUGAUUUUUAAUUGGAAGCUAUUCACCUACAUGCAUCUACGAUGAGUUAAGGGUAUAUCCCUCUCACUGAUCUCACUUACCUAACAAACAUGGUAGAUUAUGUUUUGAUUAGAUCACUAGUCGAUUCAUGCAGACCCAUGCCAUUAAGGUGAAUCAGUGUGACUGAUUUAGAUGUCUUUAGACCAGCUUGUGUCUAAUCCUUUAUAUGACUUGGUGAAGUCAGUGGGAGAAUUUGCAGCUUGCAGGUCAACUUCUUCUCUUAUUCUUAGAUCAAUGAAAUCAAAUCUUAUAAAUUAUUAAGUCCAUAAAGUGAUGAAGUUAUGAGAUAACUUGGUUAUUGCCUCCCAUUAAGGUACGUGAUAGUGAGUCCAAUAUUUUAAAUAGGUAUUGGAGGCGCCAUAUGCCUAAUGUCUAUUACAUAUUAGAAUGGUCAUUCAUCAUAUGACUAUCAUGAUGUACCUUCAGAUCAAUACUC